GGCGUGGCUCAGUGGUAGAGUAUCUGCUUGGCGUGCUGAAGGUCCCAAAUUCAAUCCCAGGCACCUCCA
rnacentral:tRNA from 1 species